UAGGGAAUCUUCGGCAAUGGACGAAAGUCUGACCGAGCAACGCCGCGUGAGUGAAGAAGGUCUUCGGAUUGUAAAGCACUUUCGACGGGGACGAUGAUGACGGUACCCGUAGAAGAAGCCCCGGCUAACUUCGUGUCAG
rnacentral:rRNA from 1 species